AUUUAAUUUUUGUCUAUUCAGAACUAGAUAUUCUAGGACUUGUGAGGCAUUAUUAGACAAUGUGUUUCCAAUGUUAAGUGUUCUGAGGAAAAUUUAAUUUUACUGAUAACUUUACUAGGGACAUAUGGAAGAAAAAUUCUCAUAGUUUGCUUUGAAAAUUAUAUCAUUGUACUUUCUUUUGUUUAAAAAUGUUAAGUUGUAUCUAAGGAUAGUGUAUUUAAAAAUUGUAUGAUUCAAAAAAUUGUAUUCAUAAGAAUAUCAUGGAUUUAUUCAAGCCAAUCCCAUUAUCUAUUAUAUAGAUUCUUUUUUUUUUUUGGUGAUUUUGGGGGUUGAGCCCAGGAGUGCUCUACCACUAAGCUAUAUCCCCAACCCUUUUCAUUUUUUGAGUCGGGAUCUUGCUGAGUUUCCCAGGAUGGCCUUCAACUUGCCAUCCUUCUGUCGCAGCUGAGUAUCAGGGAUUUUAGACAUGUGACAUCAUGCCCAGCCAUCACUAAUAUUCUCUUAAAGAUACUACUGGAGAUACAAAAUGAUUGACUCUUUCUCCAUGCUCAGUCCUAUAAAGAUCCUCUGAACUCUUUGAGCCCAAAUGGCCAGCUGAAUCAGGCCUGGCCCCUAUCUGAUAUGCACAGCAAGCUUCCUUUAGCUUUUUUAAAAAUUACAGUAGAAUGUAUUUUGACGUAUUUUACAUACAUGGGGUAUAAUUUCCCAUUAUUGUGGUUGUACAUGAUGUGAGGUUACAUUGGUUGUGUAUUCAUAUAUGAACAUAGGAAAGUUAUGUCCAAUUCAUUCUACUGUCUUUCCCAUUCCAAUUCCUCCUCCCUUCCCUUCAUUCCCCCCAUUCUCCCCUGUCCAAUCUGGUUAAACCUCUCCUGCCCCCCAACCUGUUGUGAGUCAGCAUCUGCGUGUCAGAUGCCUUUGGUAUUUGUGGAUUGGCUUAUUUCAUUUAGCACGAUAGCCUCCAGCUGCUAUGAAUGUGGCCACAUCACUAUAGUGAUGUUGACUUUUCUAUUCUUUUAAUGAAUGAGCUCAAUGCAAUGAACUUUUCUCUUAGCACUGCCUCCAUAGUAUCCCAGAGAUUUUGAUAUGUUGUAUUGCUAUUCUCAUUUACCUCUAAGUACUUUUUUAUUUCAUCCCUGAUUUCUUCUGCUAUCCAUUGGUCAUUCAGUAGCAUGUUAUUUAGUAUCCAGGUGUUAGAGUAGCUUCCAUUUUUUAUUUUACAAUUGAUUUUAAAUUUCAUUCCAUUAUGUUCUGAUAAAAUGCAAGGUAUUAUCUCU
rnacentral:lncRNA from 1 species